GAUGAAGAACGUAGCGAAAUGCGAUACUUGGUGUGAAUUGCAGAAUCCCGUGAACCAUCGAGUCUUUGAACGCAAGUUGCGCCCGAAGCCACUAGGCCGAGGGCACGCCUGCCUGGGCGUCACACGCCGUUGCCCCCCCAUCUACUCCUUCGGGAUUGCGGGGGGGCGGAUGAUGGCCUCCCGUGCGCCUAGCCGCGCGGUUGGCAUAAAUACCAAGUCCUCGGCGACGCACGCCACGACAAUCGGUGGUUGCGAAACCUCGGUUGCCCGUCGUGUGCGUUCGUCGCGCAUNNNGGGCUCAAAAAAAUGCUCGGCUCCGGCUGGGCUUUCAACGCGACCCCAGGUCAGGCGGGGUUACCCGCUGAAUUUAAGCAUAUCAAUAAGCGGAGGA
rnacentral:misc_RNA from 1 species